rnacentral:lncRNA from 1 species
UUGCAAUUUUUUGUUCAUAUCCUGGGGGGGCAAGGCCAGCAAACCUUUUGCAAAUAUAUGGUUGAGAGAAAAAGCAACCCAGGGCAGGGAAGGUGACUGCGAUUGCCAUAUACAAACAAAAUCAGAAAAUUCUAAACCAGUCACAAACAAAAUGCAGUUGAGCAAAUCUUUCUAGGAUCUUAAUUGUUUAUGCAGUAAUGGGUGGCAUUUAUCUGAUAUAAUUUGUCAAUUGAAAAGGCAAACAGUUUCAAUUCAGUGGUGGAAAACUGCAUUCAGGAACGAGUGACAGAAUAAUCACUGAAGGAAAAUGUUAUUGGAAACCAUUAAGCAAGAAUUUAUGGGAAAAUGAAAGACAAGCUGUCCCCUCAUCCCACUCUGUUGAGCUUUCCCUGGAAACUGCAAGCUGCCAAUGAGAAGCCAAGUUGAAAUGCAAGGCCAGCCAAUCAAACAGUUUAUCACGUAAGACAACGUAGGCGAAACAAAGGUACUAUGGCUGAAAGGGAACAGGGAGGAAGGACUCAGGAAGCCUUGUGUGCUCAGUCUAAACACCUGGCUACCCAGCAAAAAGCAGAGGAGGAAAAUGAGCUGCAGAAGGAUCAAAUGACCUGCCUGAGGUGCCCUAUCUGUUGGCACAGGCCAGAGCACAUGGUGGAUGCAGGGGCACCCCCUUCCCUUCUCCUCCCCUCCGGCUCUUUGCUGACAGGAUUCUCUCUUGCCUUCUCUGAUGGUACCUGUGCUACGUGCCACAUCCUUUCCCUCAAUGAAUUUCAGGCAGUGGAAGGGGCCGCAGAAGUUCCUUGACUCAUGAGGCGAGGCAUUCAGCGGCCUCGUGACACCUCCCAGGAUCUGCAGUCAUUGGGCUGCACUUGCCAAUAGCAACACCUGGCAAAAAUAGCUAAGAAGCAGAGCGGCCUGGGCUCAGGAGCUGAGCAACCCCUGACUGGCCAGAUGGAGACUGUGUUGAGCUCUGCCCAAGCCCUGUGAUCCUGGAAAACAGUGAAGUUAAGGAGCCAUCUGCAUUCUAGGGAAUGGCCCACUGCAAAAAAUAGCCUUCCUUAUAGGACGUAGAGGACUCAUGAUGUCCCCUCAUUUAUGAUGAGCCAACACACAGCCCUUCCAAAUUCCGAUUCUUUGCUUCAUAACUGAUGAGCUGUUUUGUUCCCACUGGUCAAUCGGAACAACAUUCUUGCUAACCAGAUUUUGGUUCAGCUCUUCUCCCUCCCCAUGUACCUGCCCUGUGUCCUGUCCUCAUCCUGAGCCAGCACACACCCCUCCUUAGUAGCUCCUCCUGCAGCAGGCUGACCUCGGACUCUCCCUGAUCCAUUGUCCAAAUAUAUCACCCUUUCACCCUACAUCCUCACACCCCAUUCUUUCUAGUUUUGUUCAUUCCUCCCUGUGAAAGAUGAACCCUCUUUGCCUAACCCCGGACCUGCUUGCAGACUGCUAUGAUGGCCAGAGUGUCCCCCCUACUGCAAGAGUCCCUUCUGUCCCUUGCAACAUCUUUUAAAUAAAAUCUCUCUUUAC